GACGAACGCUGGCGGCGUGCCUAAUACAUGCAAGUAGAACGCUGAAGGAGGAGCUUGCUCUUCUGGAUGAGUUGCGAACGGGUGAGUAACGCGUAGGUAACCUGCCUGGUAGCGGGGGAUAACUAUUGGAAACGAUAGCUAAUACCGCAUAACAGUAGAUGUUGCAUGACAUUUACUUAAAAGGUGCAAUUGCAUCACUACCGGAUGGACCUGCGUUGUAUUAGCUAGUUGGUGGGGUAACGGCUCACCAAGGCGACGAUACAUAGCCGACCUGAGAGGGUGAUCGGCCACACUGGGACUGAGACACGGCCCAGACUCCUACGGGAGGCAGCAGUAGGGAAUCUUCGGCAAUGGACGGAAGUCUGACCGAGCAACGCCGCGUGAGUGAAGAAGGUUUUCGGAUCGUAAAGCUCUGUUGUAAGAGAAGAACGAGUGUGAGAGUGGAAAGUUCACACUGUGACGGUAUCUGACCAGAAAGGGACGGCUAACUACGUG
rnacentral:rRNA from 1 species